AUCCUCCCACAUCGUAUCAUCGGCAAUUUCUGGAUUAACCCAGCCGAUAAAUUCCUUUCCAUAAACUUUCAUCUUAUUCUCUUCGGUGGCUUCAAGCCCAUAAACAUUCUCAAAUAGACAAUCCUGAAAUCGGGUCACAAAUUUUCUAUACUCCUCGUCAGUGUAAAAUUUCAAUGCCCAGACUCCAUUGUUAACGAAAUCCACGCGCCGUUGAUCUCCAAACAUCUUCAAUUGCAUUUCCGUGGA
rnacentral:misc_RNA from 1 species